rnacentral:sRNA from 113 species
GUUUGCACUUGUCGGGGAAGGGUGAGAACCUUCGAUUAAGGUUCGACUCGAGCGAAAGCGAGAGAACGUUGCCAACGGCAACGGCCCGUAGGGUGAGGAGCGAAGCGACGAAUAAUCCUUCCCCUACCACCA